UACGUAGGGGGCAAGCGUUGUCCGGAAUCAUUGGGCGUAAAGAGCGUGUAGGCGGUCCGGUAAGUCCGCUGUGAAAGUCGGGGGCUCAACCCUCGAAUGCCGGUGGAUACUGUCGGGCUAGAGUGCGGAAGAGGCGAGUGGAAUUCCUGGUGUAGCGGUGAAAUGCGUAGAUAUCAGGAGGAACACCAAUUGCGAAGGCAGCUCGCUGGGACGUUACUGACGCUGAGACGCGAAAGCGUGGGGGAGCAAACAGG
rnacentral:rRNA from 1 species